CUGUGAUGCGCUCUCAAAGAGUCGAGUUGUUUGGGAAUGCAGCUCAAAAUGGGUGGUGAACUCCAUCUAAAGCUAAAUAUUGGCGAGAGACCGAUAGCGAACAAGUACCGUGAGGGAAAGAUGAAAAGCACUUUGGAAAGAGAGUGAAACAGUACGUGAAAUUGUUGAAAGGGAAACGCUUGAAGUCAGUCGCGUCGACCGAGACUCAGCCUCGCCUCGGCUUGGUGUACUUCUCGGCUGACGGGUCAGCAUCAAUUUCGAUCCUUGGAUAAUGGCAAGGGAAAGGUAGCACCUUUAUAGGUGUGUUAUAGUCCUCUGUCGGAUGCAAGGGUCGGGAUUGAGGAACUCAGCACGCACCUUUUAGGUGUCGGGGCCUCGGCCUACGUUACGUGCUUAGGAUGCUGGCAUAAUGGCUUUAAACGACCCGUCUUGAAACACGGACCAAGGAGUCUAACAUGCACGCGAGUGUUCGGGUGGAAAACCCGUGCGCGUAAUGAAAGUAAAAGUUGGGACCUCUGUCGUGGAGGGCACCGACGCCCGGACCAGACCUUCUGUGACGGCUCCGCGGUAGAGCGUGUAUGUUGGGACCCGAAAGAUGGUGAACUAUGCCUGAAUAGGGUGAAGCCAGAGGAAACUCUGGUGGAGGCUCGUAGCGAUUCUGACGUGCAAAUCGAUCGUCAAAUUUGGGUAUAGGGGCGAAAGACUAAUCGA
rnacentral:rRNA from 1 species